CUGCUCUGAGAAGGGUCAUCUUCAAACUUUGGUCAGGAUCUUACCCAGGUGACUUCUGGGCUCCAUAACAGAAAUGUUCAGACUGGAAGGAAGGUGGAUGUUUUUUAUGGAUGCACCAGAAGGAACAAAUGGCAGGGAAGGGCUACACAAGCAGCACAUUCUGGUGGCACCUGACAGAACAAGCAAGCAAGUUCCCAGCACAACUCCAUACACAAUCUCAGGACACUCAGGAUUGGACACAAAAGCCAGGAACCCUGGACAGAUGACUUGGCCUCGAGUGUUUUGGUGCCAGACUGGUGGGUACACACGGCUGCUGUGGGCAUGAAAGCCUGGAUGCAGUAAGGGAC